rnacentral:rRNA from 1 species
UACGAAGGGGGCUAGCGUUGUUCGGAAUUACUGGGCGUAAAGCGCGCGCAGGCGGUUCUCCAAGUCAGUGGUGAAAGCCCAGGGCUCAACCCUGGAAUUGCAUUCAAGACUGCCUUGCUUGAAUUCGGUAGAGGUUGGUGGAAUUCCCAGUGUAGAGGUGAAAUUCGUAGAGAUUGGGAAGAACACCGGUGGCGAAGGCGGCCAACUGGACCGACAUUGACGCUGAGGCGCGAAAGCGUGGGGAUCAAACAGG